rnacentral:rRNA from 1 species
UACGUAGGGCGCAAGCGUUGUCCGGAAUUAUUGGGCGUAAAGAGCUCGUAGGCGGUUUGUCGCGUCUGCUGUGAAAUCCCGAGGCUCAACCUCGGGCCUGCAGUGGGUACGGGCAGACUAGAGUGCGGUAGGGGAGAUUGGAAUUCCUGGUGUAGCGGUGGAAUGCGCAGAUAUCAGGAGGAACACCGAUGGCGAAGGCGGUUCUCUGGGCCUGUACUGACGCUGAGGAGCGAAAGCGUGGGGAGCGAACAGG